rnacentral:rRNA from 1 species
CUACGGGUCGCUGCAGUGAGGAAUAUUGCGCAAUGGGGGAAACCCUGACGCAGCGACGCCGCGUGGAUGAUGAAGGCUUUCGGGUCGUAAAAUCCUGUCAGAUGGGAAGAAGUGACGGAUACCUAAUAUGUAUCUGUUUUGACGGUACCAUCAAAGGAAGCACCGGCUAACUCCGUGCCAGCAGCCGCGGUAAUACGGAGGGUGCAAGCGUUGUUCGGAAUUACUGGGCGUAAAGCGCGCGUAGGCGGCUAUUUAAGUCAGAUGGGAAAGUCCACAGCUUAACUGUGGAAGUGCAUUUGAAACUGGAUGGCUUGAGUACUGGAGGGGGUGGUGGAAUUCCCGGUGUAGAGGUGAAAUUCGUAGAUAUCGGGAGGAAUACCAGUGGCGAAAGCGGCCUCCUAGGCUGUUUCUGACGCUGUUGCCCGAAAGCGUGGGGAGCAAACAGGAUUAGAUACCCGAGUAGUC